GGUCUUUCUUCAGUGCAAGGUGCCCAUGAUCCUUUGCAGUGUGGUCUAUAUUGGGUUAAAUCUGAGCCUACUGUGUAGUAUCUCAGCACCAGUCAGGACUCAUCCCACACCUGGCUUCCUGCACUAAUCUCUGUGUGACAGAGCUGCCCCACAUAAACUGCCUCCUCUGCUUACACAGCUCUUUGCUAAAGUUCAAGAGAACAAGAAAGAAAUAUGAAAGGGGAAAAAAAAGGGAUAAAAGAAAAAAAGGCUCGAAAAAGGAAUGGACGGAAGAAGAGAUAGGGUGGAAGGUAGAGGUGUGCGCUAUGUAUUGUCUAUGAUAAUAUAGUAAUUGUUAUUUUAACAAAGUGUUUUUAACUCACUUUGCAAAAACACUGAACUGAACGGAAAACAGCUGGGGAAACAGUUACAGUGCCACCAAAAUUCAAAAGGGCAAAAAUGUCCCUGAAUGAGUUUUGUCUUACAUUUAUAUAAUGAUAUAGUUAAGCAAUAACACAACAACAGUUAAUAUACAAAAUGACAUUUUAGACCCAAUAAUCAAUUUUUACUAACCGAAAAAAGCUCCCAACAAUGCAAGAGUGGAUGGUAAAGACACUUUAGAAUUUCUCCACAAUUAAUCAGUCAUCUGAGUACUUUUCAUGUGCUGUUUUAUGAAUGCACAUAUUGUGUGUUGCCCACUAUCUUGCAAAGUGUGCAUAUUUCAGGCAGAGAGUCACUUGCUUCGCUCCUGAAUAAAGUCCAUUUCAAAAUGAGAUGUUUUAUGUAACAGAAACCACUUUUCAAAAACUAAAGCGAACGACUUGUUUGGACUGCAACGCAUAUUUUCUGGGAUUUGUGAUAUCACAAAUAUCGGCGAAUGGGACGAGACCUGGUUGAGCUGCACUAGAGGAGGCAACGAGUGUUAUCACUAAGUUGGAGACACUCUAGCUUUCCCAAGGCAAACCAACUUAGAGUUCUUACAAUCAUCUGGGUUUAAAUCGUGGUCAACUUGAUGUGAUUUUGACGCAAUAUUUACACUGAAACUCGCCGCAGGCGGCUAUGAUACGGGGCGUGACAUUUCCUGACCAGGCACCGAGCGGAGCCAAUCACAACACAUACUGGCCCAGUUAACCAAUCACAGCACAUUUUGUUUUUCAGAAUGUGGGCCUUCAUUUGUUAUAGGAACUAUUUGAGCUGUUCAUUCCAGACUGGGGAGAGAAGUAAUGUUAUAACGUAAAAUAUGUGAAAAAUAAUGUUUUUAGCAAAAAAAAAAAAAAAAAAAAACUAGUAUAAGAGCCUGUUCUAGUAAACCCCCCAAAACAAAAUCAAGACUUUGUAACCAAGCAUAAUAGGACCCCUUUAAAUUAUGCAGCUAUUAAAUUCAUCCAUUCGCUAAAUGGAAUGCCUUAGGCAAAAAAGAUGAUGUACACAUCAAAUAAGGUUAGAAAAUAGUCCCAUUAUAAAGAUACAAAUACAGCUGGAAAUCAAUUUAAAAUGGCAAAAUAUCACCUCUUAAUAUAAAAGUUUAUUUCAGCCACUGCUCUACCCACAAAACACACACAAAUCCCAGAAUAAAUCGCACACCCCUAAAAAAAAAGGUCCAAAAAAGACAGAAUUUGAUGGAUUGGCCAUCUCUCCAGGUUGUUUCCCUGCCUUAGCCUGAGAUGCUGGGACAGGCUCCAACAACCCUGCAACCAUACAUGGGACAAACGGUAUAAAUUUAAGGACGAAUGUAUGUAUGGAUGGAAAAGAAUGGUUGAAAGGAUACAAGGAGAAAGAGAGGAAGAAAGAAAUGUAAAAGGACAAAAGAAUGAGGAGGGAAACUCAAAAGAAAAUACUAAAGAAAGGUUGAAAGAGAAAUAUAGGAGGAAAGAAGGCAUUAUCAAAAGAAAGAAAGUAGGCAGGAAAUAAAUAUCUAUAUGUAGUCAUAUGGAGCUGAUCUGAGCAGCCAUCAAAGCCACUGGUGAAGCACUAAGGUUAAGACAACCGUCUUUUAAAGCUCGGCCUGUGUCCUUGGUGGUCAGAGCACAUCUGCAGUGUGCACCUGUCCCCAAUUAAGUACCGGGAGCUUGGCUUUAUGGUGUGCAAGGAAAUCUGAUCUGGAAAACAAGGUGAGGCUGUCAGAUAUGAAGGGUGCAGCCUGUCCUCAGUAAAUACAGUACUAUUGAUUCAGCUUUCACAACUCAUCUCACAGCAGCGGGGAACCACUCACACAAAGCCUGGCCUGAACCGAGACUUUCAACAUAUCAUUCCAGUUUUACGUCGAAAAAAAAAAAAAAAAACUACAAGGAUCCGACGUCCUGCUAAUGCCAUAAAACACCAGGUAAAGAUGCUCACUGUCCUGACAGCGGACAUAUCCGACAGAGGGAAGAGGAGGAGAAGGAAAGAGAUGCUGAAGGCCCCACAGCUAAAAGCACUGGCCCACAUUCCUCUCACAAAUCUGGGGCGGCUGAACAGAAAGUCAUUUGGCAGAAAGGCCCAGAGUGAGAGAGAAAGACAGAGCACUGGGUGCCAGCACUAACACUAAAAUAAUUACCUGUCAUACUGGCAACUGUGUGAGCGGCAGACACGUUUUGCCCUGUGAAAUAAUAUGGAAAGAUUAAUAGUUCCCUCAGUAUCCGACUUUAUCCCGCUCUCUCUCUCUCACUCACUCUACUUAACAUUGUCCACACACAGGGAAUACUGAGCAUAUGCUGAUUAGCAGUUGGAGAAAAGGCACAGCAAGACCAAAAAUACUGUGGACCUUGUCUAGAGAGAAUGUAGAGUCAGGGAACACAGAUUGUUUUUACCCCAGAGGUAUCCAGGAUUUAAAGAGCUUCCCUUAUUAAACCUUAAAAAAAAAAAAAAAGAAA